rnacentral:rRNA from 1 species
CUACGGGAGGCAGCAGUGAGGAAUAUUGGGCAAUGGGGGAAACCCUGACCCAGCAAUGCCGCGUGCGGGAAGACGCCUUUCGGGGUGUAAACCGCUUUUCUGCAUGAAGAGGAAGGACGGUAGUGCAGGAAUAAGUCACGGCUAACUACGUGCCAGCAGCCGCGGUAAUACGGAGGGGGCGAGCGUUGUUCGGAAUUACUGGGCGUAAAGGGCGCGUAGGCGGCCGGUCGCGUUAGGUGUGAAAGCCCCGGGCUCAACCUGGGAACUGCACUUAAUACGGGCUGGCUCGAGAGCGGGAGAGGAGUGUGGAAUUCCCAGUGUAGAGGUGAAAUUCGUAGAUAUUGGGAAGAACACCGGUGGCGAAGGCGGCACUCUGGCCCGUUUCUGACGCUGAGGCGCGAAAGCGUGGGGAGCAAACAGGAUUAGAUACCCGGGUAGUCC